AAACGGCAGAGAGACACUUGUGAGAGAAAUGAUCGUUUAUACUUUGAAUGGAAGGACGUGAGCUAUACCUCCUUUUCACCAGUCAUUUCUAAAUACGCGAACGGAACAUGGUUUUAUUAUCUGGAAUGUGAUAUACGGGAUUUGUGAGGAGAACGCUCAAGAAACCCACACCUUUACACCAAGAUACUGGACGACAUCUGGC